rnacentral:tRNA from 1 species
GCCCUUGUAGCUCAGUGGUAGAGCGUCUGGCUGUUAACCAGAAGGUCGCAGGUUCGAAUCCUGCCAAGGGCG